ensembl:lncRNA
CUUCUGCCUCGAACCUGUCAAGUGCCAAUAUUCAUUUUAAUGAUCUCAUUUUAUAAAUAAUGGAAAGAAAAACAAUACAUUCAAUAGAAAUGAGAUUAGAAAUGGGAGGGGAAUGAAUUACAAAUGCAAGAGUCUGUAGUUGUUCCAAGGAAGAUAAAUCUCAUUUUAAGUGGUCUCCAGUGAAACAGCAUCUUGGUAAGGAUAAAACAAGCAAACAACUAAAACCCACAAAAAAGCCCACGUCUUUUGCUGAUAAAGAAAGGUGGAUGGCAGCAGCAGGGAGUGUUUGCUGACACAGGUCAGUUGUCACAGUAUCUUGAGACCAGUGAUACGUAGGUUUUCUUCUUGGCCUUGCCAUGGCCUCCCUGUGAUAAAUCAUUUAACAGCUGGUGCCAGCAUUGCAGGACAAUCUGGAAAAUCAAACUCCAGUGAACAAACGUGCAGGUGACAUCAAGAAGCAAUGCUCGGGGCAGCAGCCACUGCCAGGCUUCCACCUCAGCAGGAUAUUUGAAGCCUGGCUCACACCAUGAGUUGCUCUGGAUGUGCUGAUGGCUGGUUUCAGUGGCAAGAUGGAUAGAGCCUGGAGGAGGUGCUGGCGUGACCCCCAGCCUGCUGGCCACACCAGCCCUCUGUGCACAGGGAGGCUUCGAAGCAAACCCGAACCAUACAGUUGCUCACGGCCCGCCAGUGCUUGCCUGCAACCUCCUCCCCCUCCUACCUCAUGUGUGUCCAAGAAGGCUUUGAUGAAGGGCUCAGUUCACCAGUGUGCAAACAACCAAGUGGUCCCCGUAGUGCUCUCUGGCUCCUGGACCCAGCGCUGGCCAUUGAGAAAGCUCUGGGCUGAAGACCAACACCAAGCAUCCAAACAAUGAUCAACCAAAAUGGUCAGGACUGUGUGCGCUGGCCUUUGGACUGCUUCCAUCAACAACACAGAGAGCGCCGACAAGAGCAGCCUAUGGAGUGUGGGGAAGGCAUGAGGGGAAACUGAGUCGCAACGGCUUUAAGAGGAUGUAACAAGGGCUUCUUCUGAAAUAACAGAUCUUACUGUAACCAAAUAUUGCCAUCCAGGAAAGCCAUUUUGCAACCAGCAAGGAGGCUUCUUCCUUCCCAGCAGCCGCUGAAAAGGCCCUUUGUUCUCAGUGGAACACCUGGAGAGGUUUAUCUGCCGUGGCCUCUGGGGCCAGCACUGAGGAGCUGUGACAGGACCCAGUGGCACUGGAGUUGGUGGCAAGCCAGGUGCUGCUGGCACCCAAAAACCAUCCCAGCUGGGCUAUGGCAUGGGCAGCUUUUGGUUGUCUCUUCCAUGGGGGCCAGGAUGCUGGCCUGGCUUGUGUUUUCUUUCUUUUCCCAUCCUAAAAUGAACCGCUGCAGUCCGAAUUGUCUUUAGACAGCAUUGAGGGGGUGACACCUCUGCAGAGAAUGGAGAACAAGCCUUGGGCCUUUCUGGAGAAAGGGGUAAUGUGAGCAGGGAUAGGCAGACAAAGAGCCCUGCGCACAUGGUUUGGUGCUACACCUGGAAGGGCUGGAGGUGACACUGCUCAGUGGCAUCAUCCUAACCAGUGGCAACUGUCUGAGGUCCAUCUCCAUGUGUGUUCCCUGGUCAUAGACCAUCCCCACGUAAACCAUCAUCACCAGGCAAACCAGCUUCAAAAGCCAAAAGGUUUACAUUCUUUCCCUGCACCUUCUGUGACUCAAAGAAGAAUCUCGAUGAGAAGAAAUCUGCACAGAGAAAACGCAGAGACAGACCUGAUGUGGGGUGAUGUGGAGAGUUGCCACCAUCCAACUGUGUGCUGCUUCUGUGACUGUAUAACCAGUGGCCUCAGGGGGAAUGGGACCUGUGAGCUGUGAGUUAUUAAGCUGGUCCAAGUCUGCUGACCUUCCUCUGCAUGCUGAUUUUCCACUAAAGUCACAGACUGGACAGCCCACAUCAGAAAAAGAAAAGAAAAAAGCAAGAAACUAAAAGUAAGAGACAUCAUUCUUUGCUCCUUGAUCACCCAGACAACAUACCAACCCCUACAAGAGAGUCAUGUUGGGGGAUUUCAGCAAUGCCUCAUCACAGGAUGUGCAGCUCUGUGAAAUAUUGAUCUGAUGAAUAUUGAGAGCAAACUGCAAAGUUUGAGAAAGGACAGACCACAGCUUGAGCUUCAUCAUCUGCAGUGGCGGUCACUGGUUCUCCCAUGCGCAACGGCACCGUUGCCAUUUCUUUGGGACAGGCUGUACUGAAGCUGAUCCACGUGAGAGCUGUUAGCCUGUUCAUGCAGCUCGUAGCUUUCACACCACUUCCAGCCUUGGUCCCUGUCCAGGCACCACCACCAGCUCUCCCAUGACUUUGGGUUUAGGUCUCUUUCUAACAUUCCUCCCUUUCUUCCCCGCUGAGGGAAAACGUCCAGGUUUGUUCUUUUUGACUUUGUGGUAGCGGCCUCAACAGAAGGACAUAGUGCCUAUUGAGUGUCUUUGCAAGGAAAAGGGAGAAACUUCUCAGUUACAUAAAAGUUUGUAUCAAAAUUCAAGAAUCCAGAUUAAUUAUAGUAGACUCGCCUUGUAUCAUUCAAUUUGUUUGAAUAGCUUUAAAGAUUAAGCAGAUCCAAGGCCUAACAGAACCAGAGCCAG